AGGUAAGGUUGUUGAUUAUCCAUUUUAUAUUAUAAUUGGCAGAGACAUUGUUCGUAACGCAAGUCAUGGAUCAAAUCUGGACUUUUAUGUUUUCUUAAUGUCACAAGAAAAGAUCACCUGUUAAUGUUUACUUUGUACACAUGGUAUUUGAUAAAAUGCCUCAUAAUGUACUAGCACAGAUGUUUGUUUGGCAAUGGAAAAUUGGUGGCUCUUUUGAA
rnacentral:misc_RNA from 1 species